AGGAUUUUAGCUUCUUCACCACGCUUCCACCUCCCUCAUUCACAUUCUCUCUCCAUUAAGAAACCCUAGCCUCCUCCCUGUGAAUCAACCCUACGUAUCUUCAUCCCCAAUUGCGAUUGUAAGCAACAUGUAAGUUUUUUUUUUUCUGAAUCUUCAAUGCUCUAAACCUAACUUUCUUUGAUUGGAGCUUCUUCUAAUCAAGAACCUUAAAUUCUACAUUGGCGAUUCCAAAUGUACGUUUUCACUAUUCGAUUUCAUCUAAUCUUCAACAAUGAUCUCGGGUUUCUGCAUCUUCAACCUUACAUCUCCCUCUCAUUCGUCUCAAAAUUGAAUCCCUUCACCAAGGUUCCACUCUGAUUGAUGUUGCGGUUGUUUGUUGCCGUUGCUGGUGAUUCACAACCGUCGUUGCCGCUCUUUUGGUGUUCAAUGGUGGUCUCUGAUCCAAACCACUCAGGUGUGUUCAGCCUCUCUAGCCAUAGAUAAGUUAGGAUGAAUCUUCCUCUGGUGGUGUCGGGUAAGGUGUACAAUCGAUGAUAGUGGGAUGUUGUGUUGAUAUCGGUGCAAAACAAAAUGAAACGCCACACGGGUUUCGAUCAGAAAUUUGGUGACCCCUACGAGCUGCGUGUUUCAUUUCAAAGUUAAUUGGUGAACGGAAGUAUACUCCUGAGCAUUUAGUAAGGAGAAAAUUAUUGUAGAUGGAAAUUGUGAUUUGGCAAUGAGGCAGCUUGCCAGUAUUGGCUUUAAGAAUUUUAUAGCUAUAAAGUGGACACCUCAUGAUCCAGGAGAUGAAUAUUGCGACGUGGGAAGCGGAAAUGAUGGACAUAGGAUAAGAGUGAGUCCACGUGUCUCCACUGGCCGGAGAGUGGUGGUGAAGAAGUGGCCACAUGGUGAUGCUGAUGCGUUUUUUGAAUGGUGUUAAGAAGCUUCAGAAAAGGAGAAGAUUUGGAAGAAAUGAAUUCAGUUCUUUUAGUAUAUGUGAUGCUCAGAAGAGAUUCAGAAACAUAUGCUUAUAGGUUGUUUAUGCUUUUGUGCUUUAUUUGAAGCUAACUGGUUGUUUAGUUUGCUUAUGGAUAGUUAUGUAAAGGGAUUUGUUUGUGUUUAGAAUAGUAGCAUUAUUGGAUAAAAAUUAAGAAGCAGUUUCAGUUGCCAGUUGAUUGAAAGUUCGGUUCUUUUCAAGGGUAUGAUCACAUCUUAAUUGUACUUUCUACGGUAUGAUCAACAUCUUAAUUGUACUGAACUUAUUUUUAAUGUCUGUUGCAGGCCAAUUCACAUUAUUUCGCUAUCAUUUCACAUGUGUUUUUUCAUUCUAAUAUCAGUUUGUUAUUUUU
rnacentral:lncRNA from 1 species